AGAGUUUGAUCAUGGCUCAGGAUGAACGCUAGCGGCAGGCUUAAUACAUGCAAGUCGUGGGGCAGCGCAGUGUAGCAAUACAUGGGCGGCGACCGGCAAACGGGUGCGGAACACGUACGCAACUUUCCUUUAAGUGGGGAAUAGCCCGGCGAAAGCCGGAUUAAUACCCCGUAAUAUUAUUGGGUGGCAUCACCUGAUAAUUAUAGCAGCAAUGCGCUUGAAGAUGGGCGUGCGCCUGAUUAGGUAGUUGGCGGAGUAAUAGCCCACCAAGCCUACGAUCAGUAACUGGUGUGAGAGCACGACCAGUCACACGGGCACUGAGACACGGGCCCGACUCCUACGGGAGGCAGCAGUAAGGAAUAUUGGUCAAUGGACGCAAGUCUGAACCAGCCAUGCCGCGUGGAGGAUGAAGGUCCUCUGGAUUGUAAACUUCUUUUAUCUGGGAAGAAACCCACGAUUUCUAUUGUGGUUGACGGUACCAGAUGAAUAAGCACCGGCUAACUCCGUGCCAGCAGCCGCGGUAAUACGGAGGGUGCAAGCGUUAUCCGGAUUCACUGGGUUUAAAGGGUGCGUAGGUGGGUUGGUAAGUCAGUGGUGAAAUCUCCGAGCUUAACUUGGAAACUGCCGUUGAUACUAUCAAUCUUGAAUAUCGCGUAGGUAAGCGGAAUAUGUCAUGUAGCGGUGAAAUGCUUAGAUAUGACAUAGAACACCAAUUGCGAAGGCAGCUUACUUCACGAUCAUUGACACUGAGGCACGAAAGCGUGGGGAGCAAACAGGAUUAGAUACCCUAGUAGUCC
rnacentral:rRNA from 1 species